rnacentral:rRNA from 1 species
UGGGGGAUAUUGCACAAUGGGCGAAAGCCUGAUGCAGCGACGCCGCGUGGGGGAUGAAGGCUUUCGGGUUGUAAACCUCUUUCGCUAUCGAACAAGGCCCGCUUAGGGUGGGUUGAGGGUAGGUGGAGAAGAAGCGCCGGCUAACUACGUGCCAGCAGCCGCGGUAAUACGUAGGGCGCGAGCGUUGUCCGGAAUUAUUGGGCGUAAAGGGCUUGUAGGCGGCUUGUUGCGCCUGCUGUGAAAACGCGGGGCUUAACUUCGCGCGUGCAGUGGGUACGGGCAGGCUUGAGUGGGGUAGGGGUGACUGGAAUUCCAGGUGUAGCGGUGGAAUGCGCAGAUAUCUGGAGGAACGCCGAUGGCGAAGGCAGGUCACUGGGCCAUUACUGACGCUGAGGAGCGAAAGCAUGGGUAGCGAACAGG